GGAUAGCUCAAGCCGGUCUGAGCAUGGUGCUGAUCAUGCCAAGAUUGCAGGAUCGAUCCCUGUUUGAGACA